UUUCAUAUGGAUGGGAACAAACACAUGUGUAUGCAUUUUUGAAUAUAAAAGUUUUGUGGCGGUACUUGGCAAGCAAUUUUCUCACACUUUACUGUGGCUAUUGGUGCUGAUCUUGAACUAAAGGUAAAUGGAACAGCAUGGAUGUGGAUUUUUAGACACAAGGAAGCUGAAUUUAACUUUUAAUGAAGAAUUUAAAUGAUGAUUGUCCAUGAAAAGAAAUAUUAAUCAUAUACAUUGUAAUGCUGUAUUGAUGCAUCUUCUGUUUUAAGUAAUUAAAAAAC